GGCAGCACGGGAGCAAUCCUGGUGGCGAGUGGCGAACGGGUGAGUAAUGUAUCGGAACGUACCUUUCAGUGGGGGAUAACGUAGCGAAAGUUACGCUAAUACCGCAUAUUCUGUGAGCAGGAAAGCAGGGGAUCGCAAGACCUUGCGCUGAUUGAGCGGCCGAUAUCAGAUUAGCUAGUUGGUGGGGUAAAAGCUCACCAAGGCGACGAUCUGUAGCGGGUCUGAGAGGAUGAUCCGCCACACUGGAACUGAGACACGGUCCAGACUCCUACGGGAGGCAGCAGUGGGGAAUUUUGGACAAUGGGCGCAAGCCUGAUCCAGCCAUGCCGCGUGAGUGAAGAAGGCCUUCGGGUUGUAAAGCUCUUUCGGCCGGGAAGAAAUCGCAUGGGUUAAUACCCUGUGCGGAUGACGGUACCGGCAUAAGAAGCACCGGCUAACUACGUGCCAGCAGCCGCGGUAAUACGUAGGGUGCGAGCGUUAAUCGGAAUUACUGGGCGUAAAGCGUGCGCAGGCGGUUUGUUAAGAUAGGCGUGAAAUCCCCGGGCUCAACCUGGGAACUGCGCUUAUGACUGGCAAGCUAGAGUACGGCAGAGGGGGGUGGAAUUCCACGUGUAGCAGUGAAAUGCGUAGAGAUGUGGAGGAACACCAAUGGCGAAGGCAGCCCCCUGGGUCGAUACUGACGCUCAUGCACGAAAGCGUGGGUAGCAAACAGGAUUAGAUACCCUGGUAGUCCACGCCCUAAACGAUGUCAACUAGGUGUUGGAUGGGUAAAACCAUUUAGUACCGGAGCUAACGCGUGAAGUUGACCGCCUGGGGAGUACG
rnacentral:rRNA from 1 species